rnacentral:rRNA from 1 species
UGGGGAAUAUUGCACAAUGGGGGGAACCCUGAUGCAGCGACGCCGCGUGAGUGAAGAAGUAUUUCGGUAUGUAAAGCUCUAUCAGCAGGGAAGAAAAUGACGGUACCUGACCAAGAAGCCCCGGCUAACUACGUGCCAGCAGCCGCGGUAAUACGUAGGGGGCAAGCGUUAUCCGGAUUUACUGGGUGUAAAGGGAGCGUAGACGGACAUGCAAGUCUGGUGUGAAAGGCGGGGGCUCAACCCCCGGACUGCAUUGGAAACUGUGUAUCUUGAGUGCCGGAGAGGUAAGCGGAAUUCCUAGUGUAGCGGUGAAAUGCGUAGAUAUUAGGAGGAACACCAGUGGCGAAGGCGGCUUACUGGACGGCAACUGACGUUGAGGCUCGAAGGCGUGGGGAGCAAA